GAGAUGUGGCUUAGUGGCAAAGUGCUUGCCUGGCAUGUGUGAGGCCCUGGGUUCAGUUCCCAGCACUUGCA
rnacentral:tRNA from 1 species